GAUGAACGCUAGCGGAGGCCUAAUACAUGCAAGUCGAACGGUAAGGUCCUUCGGGAUACACGAGUGGGCAAACGGGUGCGUAACGCGUACGGAACAUGCCUCUAUCAGAGAGAUAGACCCUGGGAAACUGGGUAUAAUACCUCAUAGUAUUGUAUUGCCGCAUGGUAUUUACAAUUAAAGCUCCGGCGGAUAGAGAUUGUCGUGCGUCCCAUUAGCUAGUUGGUAAGGUAACGGCUUACCAAGGCGACGAUGGGUAACUGGUUUGAGAGGGAUGAUCAGUCACACUGGAACUGAGACACGGUCCAGACUCCUACGGGAGGCAGCAGUAGGGAAUAUUGGACAAUGGACGCAAGUCUGAUCCAGCCAUCCCGCGUGCAGGAUUAAGGCCCUCUGGGUUGUAAACUGCUUUUAUUAGAGAAGAAAACCUCAGAUUUAUCUGAACUUGACGGUAUCUAAUGAAUAAGCACCGGCUAACUCCGUG
rnacentral:rRNA from 1 species